GUGGGGAAUAUUGGACAAUGGGCGAAAGCCUGAUCCAGCCAUGCCGCGUGUGUGAAGAAGGUCUUCGGAUUGUAAAGCACUUUAAGUUGGGAGGAAGGGCAGUAAGUUAAUACCUUGCUGUUUUGACGUUACCGACAGAAUAAGCACCGGCUAACUUCGUGCCAGCAGCCGCGGUAAUACGAAGGGUGCAAGCGUUAAUCGGAAUUACUGGGCGUAAAGCGCGCGUAGGUGGUUAUGUAAGUUGGAGGUGAAAUCCCCGGGCUCAACCUGGGAACUGCCACCAAAACUGCAUGACUAGAGUACGGUAGAGGGUAGUGGAAUUUCCUGUGUAGCGGUGAAAUGCGUAGAUAUAGGAAGGAACACCAGUGGCGAAGGCGACUACCUGGACUGAUACUGACACUGAGGUGCGAAAGCGUGGGGAGCAAACAGGAUUAGAUACCCGUGUAGUCC
rnacentral:rRNA from 1 species